CUGGGAGAGGGCGAGGAGACAGAGACAGGCUGCAGAGUUUUCAGGGAUGCCUCCUGACGUUUUGACUCAGUGGCCCAGCUUCCGGCUGCCGUCCUCUUCCCCCACUCCCAACACCCCCAGGUCUGGACAGCUCUCCUGCAGCUGAGGGGUACUUGUGGGGAAGUCCACCAGCAACCUGCCAGGGCCAUAGGAGAGAGAGCUGGGGGCUCUGUGGUGGGGAACUAAGAAAGCAUCCGCAGCAGCCCUCCACUUAGGAGAAGUAUGUAGAUUCUGGCUGGUGGGGAAAAGCUAGCUCUAAGGGAGGCUGUUCUCCAGGUUACAGAGCAAGGUGGGGGAUGGGGAGGAGCUCCCAGUCAGUGGCUGGACUCAGACAGACGAUAAUCUCAUUGUGACCUCACAUUCUCCAGCGACUUUGUGCACCUGGGAGAUGGGUGCUGGUCUCCCCAUCUUGCAAAUAGCAAAACCAAGGAAGAGUAGGAAGUCACUGGCCCUGGGUAGGCAGUGCCCUUGAGAGAGAACUGAUGCUGGUGCAGGCACCAGGAUGGAGAUGUUGACAACUCCAGCAUCACUAAGACUGGCUCCCAAAACCCUGGACACUGGCUAUGUCCACCCAUUCCCUGCUGGUUCUUGUUGGAAAAUGGGCCUGCUACCCACAGAUGCCCCUCUAUGCCAUGGUCCCUCUCCAUCUUCCCUCCCCAGCAGGUGUCUCUGCCAUCCAGGCUCCCACCAGCUCGCCCCUUGCUGGAGCUUGGGAAGGAUUCUUUCUUUUUAAUCAAGAAAUGGCCCACGGAGGAAGAUGGCAGAUAUGUGUUUACAGCUUUUCAUUUCCCUCCUUGCCUCUUUGUAAAUACCCUCUUCCAAGCUGGAAAAUAAAUUUCCAACUCUGUU